ACGAGUUUUGAAAUGGGUUGUAGCUGGCCUUACGAAGGCAUGUGCACACCCUGCUCAUCCACUCUCAUACCCCUGUGCACCUAUUGUAGGCUUGGUGGGAAGACUGGUGUCACAACCAGUCGGAAAGCCUUGCCUAUGUUUUAACACAAACGCUUCAGUUUUAGAAUGUCACAUUUGCGUCUAACGCAUGAAAUA
rnacentral:misc_RNA from 1 species